UAGAAUAACCCGAAACUCCGUCGUUCUACUCACUCGUUUGUUCGAUCUCGACCGGUUCGUGUCAUCGUACUACACACCGUUUCCUUCCUUCAUACUAAUCUUCGAAAUUUCAAAAACACAUCUACAAUCAUGGAGAUUGCCAAAGCAAACGAUACAGCAAGUAGCCUGGUCGAGCAAUCGUUGAACGUUGAAUCGGCAUUGAAGUCUGUGAAAUCGUCGCAGAGUACACAGAGCGUACAAACCAAAUCCGUAAUCGAGUCGUCGACUUCCAUUAAAUCGGUGACCACAUCGUCGAGCAGGUCACAUCGAUCGAUGGAGUACGAGGAGUCGGUUGAAUACACAGAUGAAUAAUAAUCAUCACGCGGCGAUAUCCUAGAGUCCCAGGAAAAUCAAGUGGGCAGGCACCGCGAACGUGGUCGAGACUAAAGCACGGUUUGCUAGAUUAUUCAAUCGACUAAUUAGUUCAAUCUAUUGGAUAGAAAAUGAAAACGAAAUUCCUUCGUUAUCGAAUGUCAUAUCAUAACGUGAUUUUCGACAUUGUCUAUAGAUAUUCGUUACUUUUCAUGAAAUUUUUAUCGUACUAACGAGAAGUCUUUUCCUUCGAUGAAUUUUUUCUUUUUUAUAUAUACAUUCGAUAACAGAUAUAAUUUGAAAACAAAUUAACUGAAUAUAAAAUAUCUUCAUUAUAUUAAAUCUUAUCGUGAAUAACACGGAGCAAGACGACAACAACAAAAAAGUAAUCGAAGAUCGUGAAGGUGAAUCAAUGUGGAGUUCUUAUUGGAGGAAAAAUCGAGUUUCUUACUGAACGACGACGGGUCAAGGAUAGAGAAUUGGGAAUGCCAAUCGCAAUUGAAGAUGUCUACGCUUAAUAAAAAGACAAGAAAAAGAAGAAGAAGAAGAAUAAAAAGAAGAAGAAAAAGACAAAUAUACUGAAGAACAUCUAGAAGUCUCGACUACGAUUUUGGCUUCACUCCAAACGCCGUGGUUCGCCGCCAAAUAGCAAAGAGCCCAGUUCCUUUUUCUUUUACGAAUUUUCGUCCGUCUUUUAGUCGAGUAUUGGACACUCACCUCCCCCUUCUCCUUAGCCCAAUCCUUUUCGUGCAAAUAUUCCGUCAUUGUCAUGUCUCGACACAUCCGAUUUUUAUCUCGAUGCAUCAAUUAAUCUUUGUAUAAUAAAAUUUUUCAAACAAA
rnacentral:lncRNA from 1 species